UCUAGAAGCUUCCGCAAUGGGGGAAACCCUGACGGAGCGACGCCGCGUGUGUGAUGAAGGCCCUCGGGUCGUAAAACACUGUCAGAUGGGACGAAAUAAGCACUGUAAAUAGCUAUGCUGAAAGACGGUACCAUCAGAGGAAGCUCCGGCCAACUCCGUGCCAGCAGCCGCGGUAAGACGGAGGGAGCAAGCGUUGUUCGGAAUUAUUGGGCGUAAAGGGCGCGUAGGCGGUAGAGCAAGUCUGGUGUGAAAGCCCCAUCGCUCAACGAGGGGAGUGCACCGGAAACUGCUUUACUUGAGUAUAGGAGAGGAAAACGGAAUUCCAUGUGUAGCGGUGGAAUGCGGAGAUAUAUGGAAGAACACCUGUGGCGAAGGCGGUUUUCUGGCCUAAUACUGACGCUGAGGCGCGAAAGCUAGGGUAGCAAACG
rnacentral:rRNA from 1 species